AUGACCACGUUUUGUCGAGUGUUGCUAAUAUUUGGUAUUUAUGUGGCAGUUUGUUGCGCGCAAUCAGUCGAAGACGACGUUUUUCAUUUCACGAACCCGUCGCAAGGCAACGCCGUCUGGAUACUCGACGAAUCCAGUUUACCAUGGACCGGUGGUUAUCAGUUUUUAAGGUCAAUCUCCGGAAUGCCAACUACACUUCUUUCGGUUGUUGACAGCUCAACAGGUGUUACGUUAGGUCAAUGUGUUGCACCACAAGAUGCCACCGGAAAUUUCUCGAAACGAUGGGAAAGGUUCAGCUGGGAGCUGACUGCCUCCGGGCUCGACUGCACAUUCGAGCACGGAGCCGCGAUACGUGUGGAGUUUGAUCGUACUCAAAAUCCACGCACUUUUUCGAUCCGUAUCCAAUCGAUCACGGGACCAGCCUGCCUACGCGACGUUGUUGUCCAAACCGAACAAGCCACCGGAUGCCCACCACAUCUCUCAAGGAACUCGUUCACCGCCAACGCACUCAACUGUUCCUGCCCCUUCUUGGAUGCAGCUAAUGAGGAUUCGGAGAUUGAAAACGAGGAUGUCGAUAUGCUCGCCAACACACCUCAGUUCCCAUUGUUCAAGGGAAUCGACCCCUCGGUUCUAGGAAGCGCCAACCCUCCAACACUUCCACCAUCGCCAUGUGCCAACCACGAAUGUCACAAUAACGGCACGUGUCUAGUUUCCCAAGAAGGCGCCGCCACGUGUUUGUGCCGUAAUGGCUUCACGGGGGAUCGUUGCGAGUUGGACGUAUGCUCUUCGGUGCCAUGCCAAAACGGCGGAGUAUGCCGAUCGAACAAUGGAAUCGCUUAUUGCGAAUGCCCGCCUGCAUUCACUGGACUGCUCUGCGAAUCGGCCCACACCGACGAAUCGGUUGCUCCAAUUUGUAGACCGGAAUGCUCCAACGGCCAAUGUGUAUUCAAAGAUGGUCAAGCUCAAUGCGAGUGUCGUCAGGGUUUCACCGGCGCCAACUGCAACGUACUUGACGUGUGCCUCGGAGAUGCCGCUUGUUCCAUGUUCGGUCCAUUGGCGAAAUGCGUUCUCGAUGACAACAUGGACAAAAUGUCCAGUCUCACAUUGAUCAACGGCACUUAUGAUUGCCUGUGUCCACAUCCAAUUCAUGGACGUAUGUAAUUUGUCGACUGCAUGCAACUUCACGCACCAUCUGCAACCAGCGUUCAGCCAACGGAACAAGUUGUCAUCAACAAUGUGACACCAUCGUUCCCAGUUUUGGAAAUUUCAAAGCUUCCGACAGGUGCACCAGUGACUUUCACGGCUACUUCAACAACUCUUAUGGUCACACAGCCAACUGUGACUGUUUCUCCUACUCAUCAAGUUCCUUCUGAGCCAUUUGUUGGAUUCACAGUAACCCGUGCGCCACUUCGACCACUCGACAUCGGCUCGACGACCCUUCCACCACCAUUCAACCAGCACAUCAUUACCGCUGGAGAGCCAACCUGGAGCAGUCAGCAGCCACAUCAACCAUCAGAAGUACCAACCCAAACCACGUUCAUCUUCCCACAAACCCCAGAAACCACCACUUUUGCACCAACAACUGGAACACAGCAGCCAGUGCACAAGUUUGUGUCACCAAGUGUUCCAGAUGAGAAUGAAGAAGAGGAGGAAGAGGAGACGACUGAAGAGACCGAGGAAACCUUCCCAACACCAAGCACAAUGCAAGUCGCCACAAACGGACAAUUCACAACUGAAACCGCAUUUGUUACUUCGACAAUUCCAUCAACGACAACUGACAUGGAAGAGACCGACGAAGACGAAGAUAUGACUGAAGAAGUCACUGAUAGCUCAACGCAACCAUCAACUACUGUCUUUGUUCAACCAACCACCACAUUCACCACAGAAGCUCCAACGACCACAAUGGAGGAGGAAGAGGAAAUGACGACUGAUCAAGUGGAGGACAUCGAGUCUGAAGAGAUUGCAACCACGACAACACAGACAAGCUUGCCGUUCUGGAUGACCACUACCAAUAAGCAAGUUGUACCAGAUAGCCCAACACCAAUGGUUAUCAUGCCACAUCCUCAACCAGAUGAGAAGAUGGAAACGAGUACGGAAGGAGUUGUUGACGAGGAGAGCGACGAGGAAAGAACGACAGUUCCAGAAUCAAACGAAGAAGUUGUGACAAAGAAUGCUGAAGCCACCACUCCAUCAGAUAUCACACAUCAUCACACCUCGAGUGGAAAGCAGUCGAGCGCAGCUGCCAGCUGGAUAAUCGCUAUCAUUGCUUUAAUUGUACUCGGCCUUUUGCUUCUUGCCACCAGCUUGUUCAUUCUUCGAUACAUUCGCCAGUCACGUAAAUUGCACGGAAAAUACAAUCCGGCGCGCGAGGAGCACAACCUGUCGGCUGCCUACGCGAUGCCGAUGUCUCACAUCGCCAAGGAGGAGCGGCUGAUCUAA
rnacentral:misc_RNA from 1 species